rnacentral:rRNA from 1 species
CCUACGGGAGGCAGCAGUGGGGAAUAUUGCACAAUGGGGGAAACCCUGAUGCAGCGACGCCGCGUGAAGGAUGAAGUAUUUCGGUAUGUAAACUUCUAUCAGCAGGGAAGAAAAUGACGGUACCUGACUAAGAAGCCCCGGCUAACUACGUGCCAGCAGCCGCGGUAAUACGUAGGGGGCAAGCGUUAUCCGGAUUUACUGGGUGUAAAGGGAGCGUAGACGGCAUGGCAAGUCUGAUGUGAAAACCCGGGGCUCAACCCCGGGACUGCAUUGGAAACUGUCAGGCUAGAGUGUCGGAGAGGCAAGUGGAAUUCCUAGUGUAGCGGUGAAAUGCGUAGAUAUUAGGAGGAACACCAGUGGCGAAGGCGGCUUGCUGGACGAUGACUGACGUUGAGGCUCGAAAGCGUGGGGAGCAAACAGGAUUAGAUACCCGAGUAG